UACGUAGGGUGCGAGCGUUAAUCGGAAUUACUGGGCGUAAAGCGUGCGCAGGCGGCGCGUUAAGACAGGUGUGAAAGCCCCGAGCUUAACUUGGGAAUUGCGCUUGUGACUGGCGUGCUGGAGUGUGGCAGAGGGAGGUGGAAUUCCACGUGUAGCAGUGAAAUGCGUAGAGAUGUGGAGGAACACCGAUGGCGAAGGCAGCCUCCUGGGCCAGCACUGACGCUGAGGCGCGAAAGCGUGGGGAGCAAACAGG
rnacentral:rRNA from 1 species